ensembl:lncRNA
CACAUAAGAUAAAAUCUACCGUUUGAACCAUUUCAAAGUGUACAAUUCAGUGGCAUUGAGUACUUUCACAGUAUUGUGUGACUGCCACCUCCAUGUAGUUCCGGAACAUUCUCAUCACCACCAAUCCCCAACAAUCACUAAUCUGCUUUCUGUCUCUUUGGAUUUGCCUAUUCUGGACAUCUCAUACACUGGAAUUGUACAAUAUGAAGUCUUUACUGAUGGGCUUUUUUCACUUAGCAUCAUGUUUUCAAGAUUUACCCAGGUUACAGCAGUGAAUCAGCCCACCACCCCCUUUUCACGGCCAAAUAAUAUUCCACCAUGCAGACAAACGGCAUUUUACUUUAUUUUCUAAUUUAGCAGUGAAACCUGGUGAGGCAAAGUGGUCGCAGACCCUGGUGACUGGCAGGAGGUACUGUGAGGUGUGUGGAUGACAAAGUCAGGACUGGUGCCCUGGGAAGCAGAGGGCUGUAUUUCACCUUGCAGACAGCACUCACCAGGUCACUUUUGCUUUGAAAACUUCCUCUGUGGAAACGGAAAAACAGUUGUCCAGGAGGAGGGGAAGACGACCCAAGGACGGGAAGGGAAACCCUCCCUGGGGCUGCAGAAGCUGCGUCUCAGUGGCACCAGCUUUCCAGGGUCAACCACGGCCUCCUUGAGGCUCUGUCUGGCCAGCAGAGGCUGGGGCUCGGACUGCACCGCGAUGGUCGCCACAAACACGCUCAGGUCUCGAGUCUCGGGUGACACUUGCUCAUGGCUUAUGAAGAAAGGGAAGCCUCCCUUUAGGCACAGGCAAUAGUCGCAAACUUCCAUUUAUAAACAAGGUGUGUUGAGCGGGAGGGCAAACAUUUCCACGUCCCAAACGUCGCACCUCAGCAGCUCCUUAACUAGUAGAUGCCCUCAGGUUUCCCCGAGCGGGUCUGGGGGCCGACCUGCGAGGAACGGCGGUCUCUCAGCGGCGUCCGUAAUCCCCGCAUCGCGCGCAGCCCGCGGUCAGGGCGCGGCGCGGCCCCGGGCGCAGGGCGGAGGGCGGGGCCUCAGCACACGGCCCGCCUCUGUCCCGCAGCCCUGUCGUCCCGGCGCGCGCACCGUGCGCGUGCCCCGGAUCUGGCGGCGGCGUGCGCGGGCCGCGCGUGCGCGCUGCGGCGGGGCGAGGGGCGGCGCGGGCGCGAGUCUGUCAGUGACAGCGGGAG